rnacentral:tRNA from 1 species
UCCGGGAUAGCUCAGCUGGAUAGAGCAACAGCCUUCUAAGCUGUUUGUCGGGGGUUCGAAUCCUCCUCUCGGAA